GAUGAACGCUGGCGGCGUGCCUAAUACAUGCAAGUCGAGCGAACAGAUGAGGAGCUUGCUCCUCUGACGUUAGCGGCGGACGGGUGAGUAACACGUGGAUAACCUACCUAUAAGACUGGGAUAACUUCGGGAAACCGGAGCUAAUACCGGAUAAUAUAUUGAACCGCAUGGUUCAAUAGUGAAAGACGGUUUUGCUGUCACUUAUAGAUGGAUCCGCGCCGCAUUAGCUAGUUGGUAAGGUAACGGCUUACCAAGGCGACGAUGCGUAGCCGACCUGAGAGGGUGAUCGGCCACACUGGAACUGAGACACGGUCCAGACUCCUACGGGAGGCAGCAGUAGGGAAUCUUCCGCAAAGGGCGAAAGCCUGACGGAGCAACGCCGCGUGAGUGAUGAAGGUCUUCGGAUCGUAAAACUCUGUUAUUAGGGAAGAACAAAUGCGUAAGUAACUAUGCACGUCUUGACGGUACCUAAUCAGAAAGCCACGGCUAACUACGUG
rnacentral:rRNA from 1 species